UGAGGGAUAUUGCACAAUGGGCGCAAGCCUGAUGCAGCGACGCCGCGUGAGUGAAGAAGGCCUUCGGGUCGUAAAACUCUUUUGCCGAUGACGAGGAAGGACGGUAGUCGGCGAAUAAGCCUCGGCUAACUACGUGCCAGCAGCCGCGGUAAAACGUAGGAGGCGAGCGUUAUCCGGAGUUACUGGGCGUAAAGCGUGUGCAGGCGGUUGCGUAAGUGGCUUGUGAAAGCCCUCGGCUAAACUGAGGGAGGACAGGUCAGACUGCGUAACUGGAAUCGGACAGAGGGCUGUGGAAUUCCGGGUGUAGCGGUGAAAUGUGCAGAGAUCCGGAGGAACACCAGAGGUGAAAACGGCGGCCUGGGUUCAGAUUGACGCUGAGACACGAAAGCGUGGGGAGCGA
rnacentral:rRNA from 1 species